rnacentral:rRNA from 1 species
UACGGAGGGUGCAAGCGUUGUUCGGAAUUAUUGGGCGUAAAGGGCGCGUAGGCGGUUGUGAUAGUCAGAUGUGAAAUCCUCCGGCUUAACUGGAGAACUGCAUCUGAAACUUCAUAGCUAGAGUACAGGAGAGGGAAACGGAAUUCCCGGUGUAGAGGUGGAAUUCGUAGAUAUCGGGAGGAACACCAGUGGCGAAGGCGGUUUCCUGGCCUGAUACUGACGCUGAAGCGCGGAAAGCGUGGGGAGCAAAACAGGAUUAGAUACCCUCGUAGUCCCU